rnacentral:rRNA from 1 species
GUGGGGAAUAUUGGGCAAUGGGCGAAAGCCUGACCCAGCAACGCCGCGUGAAGGAAGAAGGUCUUCGGAUCGUAAACUUCUAUCCUUGGUGAAGAUAAUGACGGUAGCCGAGAAGGAAGCCCCGGCUAACUACGUGCCAGCAGCCGCGGUAAUACGUAGGGGGCAAGCGUUGUCCGGAAUGAUUGGGCGUAAAGGGCGCGUAGGCGGCCUGGUAAGUCUGGAGUGAAAGUCCUGCUUUUAAGGUGGGAAUUGCUUUGGAUACUGUCGGGCUUGAGUGCAGGAGAGGUAAGUGGAAUUCCCGGUGUAGCGGUGAAAUGCGUAGAGAUCGGGAGGAGCACCAGUGGCGAAGGCGACUUACUGGACUGUAACUGACGCUGAGGCGCGAAAGUGUGGGGAGCAAACAGGAUUAGAAACCCUGGUAGUCC